rnacentral:rRNA from 1 species
GCCAGACUCCUACGGGAGGCAGCAGUGGGGAAUAUUGCACAAUGGGGGAAACCCUGAUGCAGCAACGCCGCGUGAGUGAAGAAGUCAUUCGUGAUGUAAAGCUCUCUCAGCAGGGAAGAAAAUGACGGUACCCGACUAAGAAGCCCCGGCUAACUACGUGCCAGCAGCCGCGGUAAUACGUAGGGGGCAAGCGUUAUCCGGAUUUACUGGGUGUAAAGGGAGCGUAGACGGCGACGCAAGUCUGAAGUGAAAUGCCAGGGCUCAACACUGGAACUGCGUUGGAAACUGUGUGGCUAGAGUGCAGGAGAGGUAAGUGGAAUUCCUAGUGUAGCGGUGAAAUGCGUAGAUAUUAGGAGGAACACCAGUGGCGAAGGCGGCUUACUGGACUGUAACUGACGUUGAGGCUCGAAGGCGCGGGGAGCAAACAGGAUUAGAUACCCCGGUAUC